rnacentral:rRNA from 1 species
UACGGGGGGGGCAAGCGUUGUUCGGAAUUACUGGGCGUAAAGGCUCGUAGGCGGCCAACUAAGUCGGACGUGAAAUCCCCAGGCUCAACCUGGGAACUGCGUCCGAUACUGGAUGGCUUGAAUCCGGGAGAGGGAUGCAGAAUUCCAGGUGUAGCGGUGAAAUGCGUAGAUAUCUGGAGGAACACCGGUGGCGAAGGCGGGUCUCUGGGCCGAUACUGACGCUGAGGAGCGAAAGCGUGGGGAGCGAACAGG